rnacentral:rRNA from 1 species
GUGGACCUACGGGGGGCAGCAGUGGGGAAUAUUGCACAAUGGGGGAAACCCUGAUGCAGCGACGCCGCGUGAGUGAAGAAGUAUCUCGGUACGUAAAGCUCUAUCAGCAGGGAAGAAAAAAAGUUUUUGGCUUUGGACGGUACCUGACUAAGAAGCCCCGGCUAACUACGUGCCAGCAGCCGCGGUAAUACGUAGGGGGCAAGCGUUAUCCGGAUUUACUGGGUGUAAAGGGAGCGUAGACGGCAGCGCAUGUCUGGAGUGAUAUGCCGGGGCUCAGCCCCGGAACUGCUGUGGACACUGUGCAG